rnacentral:rRNA from 1 species
CCUACGGGGGACAGCAGUGAGGAAUAUUGGUCAAUGGACGAGAGUCUGAACCAGCCAAGUAGCGUGAAGGAUGACUGCCCUAUGGGUUGUAACCUUCUUUUAUAUGGGGAUAAAAUGUUCCACGUGUGGGAUUUUGUAUGUAACAUAUGAAUAAGGAUCGGCUAACUCCGUUCCAGCAGCCGCGGUAAUCCGGAGGAUCCGAGCGUUAUCCGGAGUUAUUGGGUUUAAAGGGUGCGUAGGUGGAUUGUUAAGUCAGUUGUGAAAGUUUGCGGCUCAACCGUAAAAUUGCAGUUGAAACUGGCAGUCUUGAGUACAGUUGAGGUGGGCGGAAUGCGUGGUGUAGCGGUGAAAUGCUUAGAUAUCACGAAGAACUCCGAUUGCGAAGGCAGCUCACGGGACUGCAACUGACACUGAGGCUCGAAAGUGUGGGUAUCAAACAGGAUUAGAUACCCUUGUAGUC